UACGAAGGGGGCUAGCGUUGUUCGGAAUCACUGGGCGUAAAGGGCGUGUAGGCGGUCUGUUAAGUCUGAUGUGAAAUCCCCUCGGCUUAACCGGGGAACUGCAUCUGAUACUGGAUGGCUUGAGUUCGGGAGAGGGAUGCGGAAUUCCAGGUGUAGCGGUGAAAUGCGUAGAUAUCUGGAGGAACACCGGUGGCGAAGGCGGCAUCCUGGACCGACACUGACGCUGAGGAGCGAAAGCCAGGGGAGCAAACGGG
rnacentral:rRNA from 1 species